GGAAGAAAGCCAAGAAAUAGCUCAAAGAAAACCAACCCAGGGCAGAGGGAGGGUGAGCCAGGCACAUCUGCUCACCUCUGUGGCCACAUAGUUUCUAUGGCAUGAUGCCAACGUAACUACACUGCAUCAGGAAGCGGUUGCUCAGGCUUGGCUCUGCUCUUGGCAUUCCUGUGGCAUGAAGUUGAGGCUACCAACCUUGACCCCGUGUCUGAGCAGCCUGGUACUGUCUCUUAUUGGAGGUGCAGCUCAGCAUGGAGCUGACUCUCCAAGAAAGUCAGUGCUGGGGAAAAAUGCAUCUCUAUAAGGAAGGUCCUUUUCUUUGGGCCUCUGGCGUAAAGGAAAACAGAGACCAUGAAAAGGGACACGCUGGUGGAUGCUGUCCUUCUGGAUGCUCUCAUCUCCCCAUUGGCUGCACCGAAAUUGGACACUGCACAUGCUUCUCAACAAUUCCUUCAACUCUUCCUCACCUGUGUCACAGCGGCAGAGACGUAAAACCACAUUUAUGAGAAACUCAUCUUGGCAAGACCACCAGAGACUUCCACAUUUCCAAAUCCAACAGCCGAUUUUCAGCUCUCUUAUUUGACAAGACAGGAUGGCUGUAGUCCUUGAACUCAGACUCAUAUGACCAACUUCCUCUUAGACAUCCAGUUUAAAGACAUCCUGGUCUCUAUCAAACAACCAGGAAAAGGAGCAAUCCAGCAUGAUGAAACUUUUAAGAAAACAGCUGCUCUACU